rnacentral:rRNA from 1 species
GACGAACGCUGGCGGCGUGCCUAAUACAUGCAAGUAGAACGCACAGUUUAUACCGUAGCUUGCUACACCAUAGACUGUGAGUUGCGAACGGGUGAGUAACGCGUAGGUAACCUGCCUGGUAGCGGGGGAUAACUAUUGGAAACGAUAGCUAAUACCGCAUAAUAUUAAUUAUUGCAUGAUAAUUAAUUGAAAGGUGCAAUUGCACCACUACCAGAUGGACCUGCGUUGUAUUAGCUAGUAGGUGAGGUAACGGCUCACCUAGGCGACGAUACAUAGCCGACCUGAGAGGGUGAUCGGCCACACUGGGACUGAGACACGGCCCAGACUCCUACGGGAGGCAGCAGGAGGGAAUCUUCGGCAAUGGACGAAAGUCUGACCGAGCAACGCCGCGGGAGUGAAGAAGGUUUUCGGAUCGUAAAGCUCUGUUGUAAGAGAAGAACGGGUGUGAGAGUGGAAAGUUCACACUGUGACGGUAUCUUACCAGAAAGGGACGGCUAACUACGUG